AUCUCUCUCUCUCUCUCUCUCUCUCUCUAUAUAUAUAUAUAUAUAUAUAUAUAUAUACAUAUAUAUAUAGAGAGAGAGAGGUGGGAGAAAGGGAGAGAGAGAGAGAGAGAU
rnacentral:miRNA from 1 species